UCUGCCAACAGGCCGAGUUGUAAUUUGUAGAUGGCUACACUGCAUAAUAGUAGAUGCUCAAGUUCUUUGGAAAAAGACAUCAUGGAGGGUGACAAUCCCGUGAGGCAUGUUACUAGGAGCAUAUAGUGGGCUUUCUAAGAGUCGAGUUGUUUGGGAAUGCAGCUCAAAGUGCGUGGUGAAUACCAUGUAAAGCUAAAUAUGGACGAGAGACCGAUAGCGAACAAGUACUGUGAAGGAAAGAUGAAAAGCACUCCGAAAGGAGAGUGAAAUAGUACGUGAAAUUGUUAAAGUGGAAGGGCUUGAGAUCAGAAUUGGUAGUUUGGGUUCCACGUCCUCUUGGGGGCGUGUACUCCCUUUCCACCGGGCCAGCGGGAGUUUCGUCUCUUGGGUAAAAGCAGUGGAAUGUAGCAGCUUGUCUGUAUUAU
rnacentral:rRNA from 1 species